rnacentral:misc_RNA from 1 species
GCCCAGCCGCGCCAUUUCUUGCGUAUCGGCUUAUGUCUGUUUUUUUAUAGCGCAAUCGCGCUGCUCUACAUUGCACUAUUUACCUCCAUCAAUGUGGAGUUAGCGCUGAAAAACCUGCUGCAAAAGCCAGUGUUUUACCACUUAUGGUUUUUCUUCGCGAUUGCGGUGAUUUAUCUGGUUUCACCGCUGAUUCAGGUGAAGAACGUCGGCGGAAAAAUGUUGCUGGUACUAAUGGUAGUGAUUGGUAUCAUCGCUAACCCAAACACCGUGCCGCAGAAAAUCGACGGUUUUGAAUGGCUGCCAAUUAACUUA